AAAACCUGAAACAAUGGAAGCCCUACCUCUCGUCCAUCCUUGCAGCUCCGAAGCUGCGCCAGUGUGAAUCUCGUUUUUCUUUCGUAA
rfam:Anoxybacillus amylolyticus strain DSM 15939, complete genome.